GAUGAACGCUGGCGGCGUGCCUAAUACAUGCAAGUCGAGCGAACAGACGAUGAGCUUGCUCCUCUGACGUUAGCGGCUGACGGGUGAGUAACACGUGGAUAACCUACCUAUAAGACUGGGAUAACUUCGGGAAACCGGAGCUAAUACCGGAUAAUAUAUUGAACCGCAUGGUUCAAUAGUUAAAGACGGUUUUGCUGUCACUUAUAGAUGGAUCCGCGCCGCAUUAGCUAGUUGGUAAGGUAACGGCUUACCAAGGCAACGAUGCGUAGCCGACCUGAGAGGGUGAUCGGCCACAAUGGAACUGAGACACGGUCCAGACUCCUACGGGAGGCAGCAGUAGGGAAUCUUCCGCAAUGGGCGAAAGCCUGACGGAGCAACGCCGCGUGAGUGAUGAAGGUCUUCGGAUCGUAAAACUCUGUUAUUAGGGAAGAAAAAAUGUGUAAGUAACUAUGCACGUCUUGACGGUACCUAAUCAGAAAGCCACGGCUAACUACGUG
rnacentral:rRNA from 1 species